GACGAACGCUGGCGGCGUGCUUAACACAUGCAAGUCGAGCGGUAAGGCCCUUUCGGGGGUACACGAGCGGCGAACGGGUGAGUAACACGUGGGUGACCUGCCCUUAGCUCUGGGAUAAGCCUGGGAAACUGGGUCUAAUACCGGAUAUGACUCCAUAACGCAUGUUGUGGGGUGGAAAGCCUUGUGCGGCUAGGGAUGGGCCCGCGGCCUAUCAGCUUGUUGGUGGGGUGAUGGCCACCAAGGCGACGACGGGUAGCCGGCCUGAGAGGGCGACCGGCCACACUGGGACUGAGACACGGCCCAGACUCCUACGGGAGGCAGCAGUGGGGAAUCUUGCGCAAUGGGCGAAAGCCUGACGCAGCGACGCCGCGUGGGA
rnacentral:rRNA from 1 species